CCGUCGGUGCCACACCAACGAUCAUGCUGUUUUACUACAGCUAAAAUUUCCAUGGUUAAUCGCUGUUGCAUUUCCUGCCUCUCAGUAUCAGCAGAACUCAACUAAUCAUGCAUACAUGUGAAUUCAUUUUCUUAAAAAAAUAUCAACAUCUGCAAUUAAGAGGCUGUUUGUCACUGCAAUUGACACUGGCAUUUGACUAGUUGCAGACUUAGAUGACAAGUAUUACUGAUAUUCUAUAUAGGAUUGGAAAAAAAUACUGGUAACGAUAUGGAUUAAGUUUGAAACCCAUGGAUCCCAUAGUUUAUUUUGAAAGAUUUCCACACAGGGUAUUACAAUUAUUGCGUUAUACUACUGCAACUGUAGUCUGUACUAGUGCAACUGCAUGAUAUCAUUAGAUGUCCUCGUUAGUCACUGCACAACCCCAUUGUUUGGUUUGGUCAUCAUGAAGGCUUGGUCUGUAUCUGGAAAAAAAACACUCUUUUAGUCUUGUUUUCAACCACACGCCGCUGAAAGUUAUAAUCGAUGGACGCUUCCUUUUUUUUCC